rnacentral:rRNA from 1 species
UACGUAGGGGGCAAGCGUUGUCCGGACUUAUUGGGCGUAAAGAGCGUGUAGGCGGCUUGGCAAGUCCGCUGUGAAAACUCGAGGCUCAACCUCGAGCUGUCGGUGGAAACUGCCUGGCUAGAGUCCGGAAGAGGAGUGUGGAAUUCCUGGUGUAGCGGUGAAAUGCGCAGAUAUCAGGAAGAACACCUAUGGCGAAGGCAGCGCUCUGGGACGGUACUGACGCUGAGACGCGAAAGCGUGGGGAGCGAACAGG